rnacentral:rRNA from 1 species
AACGAACGCUGGCGGCAGGCCUAACACAUGCAAGUCGAGCGCGCCCUUCGGGGUGAGCGGCGGACGGGUGAGUAACGCGUGGGAACGUGCCCUUUUCUACGGAAUAGCCUCGGGAAACUGAGAGUAAUACCGUAUACGCCCUUUGGGGGAAAGAUUUAUCGGAAAAGGAUCGGCCCGCGUUGGAUUAGGUAGUUGGUGGGGUAAUGGCCUACCAAGCCGACGAUCCAUAGCUGGUUUGAGAGGAUGAUCAGCCACACUGGGACUGAGACACGGCCCAGACUCCUACGGGAAGCAGCAGUGGGGAAUCUUAGACAAUGGGGGCAACCCUGAUCGAGCCAUGCCGCGUGAGUGAUGAAGGCCUUAGGGUUGUAAAGCUCUUUCAGCUGGGAAGAUAAUGACGGUACCAGCAGAAGAAGCCCCGGCUAACUCCGUG